UCCCCACAAGCGUUAUAAAACAUGACCACCAGAGUCCCCUCAUCAAAGCCAUGGGACGGGCACUUUCUCAACUUCUCCUGGUAUCUCUCCCAUGUCUCUGCUAGUGUCUCUCCAUCGAACUGUUGGAAUUGGAGAAUCUCCAUCUUUAACUUCAAUGUGAGCCCGGGAGGAUGGAACUUCCGCAGGAAAAGAUCCGCCACAUCCCCCCAUACCGGAUUAGCUCCC
rnacentral:lncRNA from 1 species